AUUGAACGCUGGCGGCAUGCCUUACACAUGCAAGUCGAACGGUAACGGGCCUUCGGGUGCCGACGAGUGGCGAACGGGUGAGUAAUGCAUCGGAACGUACCCAUCAGUGGGGGAUAACUCUCCGAAAGGAGGGCUAAUACCGCAUAUUCUGUGCGCAGGAAAGCGGGGGACCGCAAGGCCUCGCGCUGAUGGAGCGGCCGAUGUCAGAUUAGCUAGUUGGUGGGGUAAAGGCCUACCAAGGCGACGAUCUGUAGCGGGUCUGAGAGGAUGAUCCGCCACACUGGGACUGAGACACGGCCCAGACUCCUACGGGAGGCAGCAGUGGGGAAUUUUGGACAAUGGGGGCAACCCUGAUCCAGCCAUGCCGCGUGAGUGAAGAAGGCCUUCGGGUUGUAAAGCUCUUUCGACCGGGAAGGAAUCGCAUCUCCUAAUACGGGGUGUGGAUGACGGUACCGGAAUAAGAAGCACCGGCUAACUACGUGCCAGCAGCCGCCGUAA
rnacentral:rRNA from 1 species